rnacentral:rRNA from 1 species
AGCGAACGCUGGCGGCAGGCUUAACACAUGCAAGUCGAGCGGGCAUCCUUGUGGUGUCAGCGGCAGACGGGUGAGUAACGCGUGGGAACGUGCCCUUCGGUUCGGAAUAACUCAGGGAAACUUGAGCUAAUCCCGGAUACGUGCGAGAGCAGAAAGGUUUAUCUGCCGAAGGAUCGGCCCGCGUCUGAUUAGCUAGUUGGUGAGGUUACGGCUCACCAAGGCGACGAUCAGUAGCCGGUCUGAGAGGAUGAUCAGCCACACUGGGACUGAGACACGGCCCAGACUCCUACGGGAGGCAGCAGUGGGGAAUAUUGGACAAUGGGGGCAACCCUGAUCCAGCCAUGCCGCGUGAGUGAUGACGGCCUUAGGGUUGUAAAGCUCUUUUCUCCGGGACGAUAAUGACGGUACCGGAGGAAUAAGCCCCGGCUAACUUCGUG